rnacentral:rRNA from 1 species
GAUGAACGCUGGCGGUGUGCCUAAUACAUGCAAGUCGAGCGAACGGACGAGAAGCUCGCUUCCCUGCUGUUAGCGGCGGACGGGCGAGUAACACGUGGAUCACCUACCUCUUUUUCGUGGAUAACUACGGGAAACAGGUGCUACUAACGCAUGAUACUUUGAACGGCAUGGAUCAGAGGAGAUUGACGGUCUUGGUGACUCUUAUAGAUGAUUCCGCGCUGGAUUAGCUAGUUGGUAAGGUAACGGCCUACCAAGGCAACGAUGCAUAGCCGACCUGAGAGGAUGAUCAGCCACACUGGAACUGAGACACGGUCCAGACUCCUACGGGAGGCAGCAGUAGGGAAUCUUGCACAAUGGGCGAAAGCCUGACGCAGCCACACCGCGUGAGUGAUGAAGGCCUUCGGAUCGUAAAGCUCUGUUGUUAGGGAAGAAAAGAUGUAGAUGUAACUGUGGAUAUCCUGACGGUACCCAAACAGAAAGCAACGGCUAACUUCGUG